rnacentral:rRNA from 1 species
AUGUUUCUCUGGUUCCUCCACCAAGACAAGCUUUGGCGCAAUGACAGGUUGCAACAGAGGGGCUGGGAAAAUGGCUAUUUUUGCCCCAUAUGCAUGAGAAAUCUUGAGUCAUCCUUUCACCUCUUUCGGGAGUGCCCAAUCUCCUUGAUGGUUUGGAACAAAGCUGUUGCCUGGACCGGCUGCCAGGCUCUGAACCCUGCUGGUUGGCGCAAUGCUACUAUGUCGACGGGCUGUGCCGAGACGAUACUAGCUGCUGCGGCUACAAGCAACUGCAAGGGCACCAAGUCGAUGCUGGCCCUCAUCGCUUGGCACAUCUGGCUGGAGAGAAACUCAUGUGUCUUCAGAGGAAAGCAGGCAGACGAGCGACACAUCGUCGAGGCAUGUCGCAGGGAUAUGGAGCAAUGGAGAUUGGCAGGCGCAAAAUGCAUUGGGCAUCCCUUCAGGGACAUGACGUGA